GGAGUUCAUUUUGUUCUUUAUUCCUUUUCAAGAAACCGCCAAGAUCACCAUCAUCAUUAUUAUCAUUACUAUGAACAUGCAAAAUCUCAUAACAGAGAGAAAUGGAUGCAGAAUCAUAUCAAUAGGUCCACUCUUGAGGCAGAAUCAUAUCACCCUGCUGCAUAUUUGGCUGUGAUUUCCGUGAUUGCCGCUUCUGCAGUGAGUACAUGCCGUCCCUGUUACUCACCAAAACAUCUAAAAAGGGAGGGAAGCCAGCAGCUGCUUUAGGUCCAGAGGUGACAGCCAUUUGUUCAAAGUGAUGUUGCAAAGCUUGUACCACUCUAGCUGGUAUAAGAAUAUUGGAGCAACCUUUACCUGACCAAAAAUAACAUCACAAUCCUGUUAUUAUUAUGUCAUGCUGUAUAUAGUACUAUAAUAUCAAAAUUUGCUCAUACAUUCAUUAUUUUUCCCUCCUUUUUCAAUUGAUCUUGUUGUUUUACUUUAGCCUAAAGAAAUGCCAUUAUAGAAUCAAUCAUAUAACAUAAUUAGUCAUCAAUUGGAUA